GAUGAAGAACGCAGCGAAAUGCGAUAAGUAAUGUGAAUUGCAGAAUUCAGUGAAUCAUCGAAUCUUUGAACGCACCUUGCGCUCCUUGGUAUUCCGAGGAGCAUGCCUGUUUGAGUGUCAUUAAAUUCUCAACCUCAUCUAGUUUUUUCUGGUGAUGGCCUGGACUUGGGGGUUUUGCAGGCCUUUCUUAGGUCUGCUCCCUUAAAAUGAAUUAGCGGGUCUUCCCCUCCAUCCCCCUCGGUGUGAUAACUAUCUACGCCUUGGUGUUGGAGAUCUAUGGGACCACCUUACAACCGUCCGCAAGGACAACAUGACCAAUCUUGACCUCAAAUCAGGUAGGACUACCCGCUGAACUUAAGCAUAUCAAUAAGCGGAGGA
rnacentral:misc_RNA from 1 species